UACGUAGGGUGCAAGCGUUGUCCGGAAUUAUUGGGCGUAAAGAGCUCGUAGGCGGCUUGUCGCGUCGGCUGUGAAAACUCGGGGCUUAACCCCGAGCCUGCAGUCGAUACGGGCAGGCUAGAGUCCGGCAGGGGAGACUGGAAUUCCUGGUGUAGCGGUGAAAUGCGCAGAUAUCAGGAAGAACACCCGUGGCGAAGGCGGUUCUCUGGGACGGUACUGACGCUGAGACGCGAAAGCGUGGGGAGCGAACAGG
rnacentral:rRNA from 1 species